rnacentral:rRNA from 1 species
UCAAGUGAAUAAGUGCAUACGACGGAUGCCUUGGCAGUAGAAGGCGAUGAAGGACGUGAUAAUCUGCGAUAAGCUUCGGUUAGCUGAUAAUAAGCUCUAACCCGGAGAUCUCCGAAUGGGAAAACCCAGUGAUCAUAAGAUCAUUAUCCUUAACUGAAUACAUAGGUUAAGGAGGCAAACCUAGGGAACUGAAACAUCUAAGUACCUAGAGGAAAAGAAAUCAACCGAGAUUCCCUUAGUAGCGGCGAGCGAACGGGGACCAGCCCUUAAGCAAUUUUUUGAUUAGUAGAAUGUUCUGGAAAGUUCAACGACACAGGGUGAUAGUCCCGUAUACGAAAAUCUUUUAAUUGUGAAAUCGAGUAAGGCGGCGCACGUGAAACGCUGUUUGAAUAUGGGGGGACCACCCUCCAAGGCUAAAUACUCUCUACUGACCGAUAGUGAACAAGUACCGUGAGGGAAAGGCGAAAAGAACCCCGGGAGGGGAGUGAAAUAGAACCUGAAAUCGUAUGCAUACAAGCAGUGGGAGCAGACUUGUUCUGUGACUGCGUACCUUUUGUAUAAUGGGUCAGCGACUUACUUCUCAGUAGCAAGGUUAACCAUUAGGGGAGCCGUAGGGAAACCGAGUCUUAAAUGGGCGAUUAGUUGCUGGGAGUAGACCCGAAACCGGGUGAUCUAUCCAUGGCCAGGGUGAAGGUUAGGUAAAACUAACUGGAGGCCCGAACCCACUUAUGUUGAAAAAUGAGGGGAUGAGCUGUGGAUAGGGGUGAAAGGCCAAACAAACCCGGAGAUAGCUGGUUCUCUCCGAAAUCUAUUUAGGUAGAGCGUCAUGUAUUACUUCUGGGGGUAGAGCACUGUUAUGGCUAGCGGGUCGUCAAGACUUAGUAAACCAUUGCAAACUCCGAAUACCAGAAAGUAUGAGCAUGGCAGACACACUGCGGGUGCUAACGUCCGUAGUGGAAAGGGAAACAACCCAGACCGUCAGCUAAGGUCCCAAAAUUAUAGUUAAGUGGGAAACGAUGUGAAAAGGCCCAGACAGCCAGGAGGUUGGCUUAGAAGCAGCCAUUCCUUUAAAGAGUGCGUAAUAGCUCACUGGUCGAGUCGGUUUGCGCGGAAGAUUUAACGGGGCUAAACUAUAUACCGAAGCUGCGGAUCGCAAUUUAUUGCGAUGGUAGGAGAGCGUUCUGUAAGCCGUUGAAGGUGAACUGUGAGGUUUGCUGGAGGUAUCAGAAGUGCGAAUGCUGACAUGAGUAACGAUAAAGGGGGUGAAAAACCCCCUCGCCAGAAGUCCAAGGUUUCCUACGCAACGUUAAUCGGCGUAGGGUUAGUCGGCCCCUAAGGCGAGGCAGAAAUGCGUAGUCGAUGGGAAACGGGUUAAUAUUCCCGUACUUCAUAUAACUGCGAUGGGAAGACGGAGUAGGUUAGCUCAGCAAGGCGAUGGUUGUCCUUGUUCAAGCGUGUAGAAAUGGUUCUUAGGAAAAUCCGGGAACCUCUAUUUCAAGGCGUGAUAACGAUCCCUCUUUUGGGAGAAGUGAGUGAGACCAUGCUUCCAGGAAAAUCCUCUAAGCUUCAGGUUAUAUGAAACCGUACCCCAAACCGACACAGGUGGACGAGAUGAGAAUUCUAAGGCGCUUGAGAGAACUCGGGUGAAGGAACUAGGCAAAAUGACACCGUAACUUCGGGAGAAGGUGUACUCUUGUUAUGUGAAAUCACUUGCUGAUAGAGCAGAAAAGAGUUGAAAAUACUAGGUGGCUGCGACUGUUUAUUAAAAACACAGCACUCUGCAAACACGUAAGUGGACGUAUAGGGUGUGACUCCUGCCCGGUGCUUGAAGGUUAAUUGAUGAGGUUAGCGCUUGCGCGAAGCUUUUGAUCGAAGCCCAAGUAAACGGCGGCCGUAACUAUAACGGUCCUAAGGUAGCGAAAUUCCUUGUCGGGUAAGUUCCGACCUGCACGAAUG